AGAGAGAGAGAGAGAGAGAGAGACGCUCCGCGUUUCCUCUCGAGGCAGAGCCACUGUAUCUACCAUGACUCCCUACUCUGUAUUUCUCUCGGCUCUUUAUGUAUUUAGCUUUUGGUUCAGAGGCCUACAAGGGUACACAAAUAAUUCUUUAUUUUUGCUGAAGGGAAAUGAUUUAUUAUUGGAAAUUGAAACACCGAAACCCAAAGUUAACUUCUUCCAAUGGAAAAGCAAAAUAAGAUCAAAAUAAUUCUUCAUAAUAACAUAUUAUCCUGAUGAAUUUCAAAAAAAUCAAUUUGGAGAAAGGGCAGAGUUUUCAACAGCAAAUUAUUCUUUGCGAAUAAAAAACCUAGCAUUGAAUGAAAGUGGACUUUACCAAGCAUUGGAUACUUCUAAGGACGCAGUAAUUAUCGCCGACUACCACGUCACAGUUCACGAGCAGGUAUCACCAGUGGUCCUGAAUGUGUCGCCUGGGUCUCCCAGUCCUAAAUCCUGCAAUGUGACCGUGACCUGUAGCACUCAGAGCUCCUCCUUAAACUCCACCUUCACGUGCACCCCUCGGA